AAAGGGGAGCAAUCCCUGAGUAAAGUGGCGUACGGGUGAGUAACACGUGGAUGAUCUACCUCUUGGCGGGGAAUACCCCUGGGAAACCGGGGACAAUACCGCAUAAGCUCGGAAGAGGAAACCUGAAAAGGGCCGAGAGAGGAGUCCGCGGCCGAUUAGCUAGUUGGAAGGGUAAAAGCCUCCCAAGGCAAAGAUCGGUAGCCGGCCUGAGAGGGCACACGGCCACACUGGCACUGARAYACGGGCCAGACUCCUACGGGAGGCARCAGUGGGGAAUCUUGCACAAUGGGGGAAACCCUGRUGCAGCGACGCCGCGUGAGCGAUGAAGCCCUUCGGGGUGUAAAGCUCUUUCGACGGGAACGAUAAUGACGGUACCCGGAGAAGAAGCUGCGGCUAACUACGUGCCAGCAGCCGCGGUAAUACGUAGGCAGCAAGCGUUGUUCGGAGUUACUGGGCGUAAAGAGUGCGUAGGCGGUUUACCAAGUCUGCUGUGAAAUCUCCCGGCUUAACUGGGAGGGUGCGGUGGAAACUGGUAGGCUCGAGUGUGGGAGAGGUAAGCGGAAUUCCUGGUGUAGCGGUGAAAUGCGUAGAUAUCAGGAGGAACACCGGUGGUGUAGACGGCUUACUGGACCAYGACUGACGCUGAGGCACGAAAGCGUGGGUAGCAAACAGGAUUAGAUACCCUGGUAGUCCACGCCCUAAACGAUGCAUACUUGGUGUGAGCCAUUCAUUUGGUUCGUGCCGGAGCUAACGCGUUAAGUAUGCCGCCUGGGGAGUACGGUCGCAAGGCUGAAACUCAAAGGAAUGACGGGGGCCCGCA
rnacentral:rRNA from 1 species